GCAGUGAGGGCGAUCUGGCUGCGACAUCUGUCACCCCAUUGAUCGCCAGGGUUGAUUCGGCUGAUCUGGCUGGCUAGGCGGGUGUCCCCUUCCUCCCUCACCGCUCCAUGUGCGUCCCUCCCGAAGCUGCGCGCUCGGUCAAAAAAGGCGACCAUCCCCGCUGGAGGAGGACCGGUCUUCGGUCAAGCGUAUACGAGUAGCUGCGCUCCCCUGCUAGAACCUCCAAACAAGCUCUCCUCUCACUUUUUAAGCCUCUUUUUUCUUUUCCUUCUUUUAGAGGUGGAGUCGUAAUAUGUUGUCCAGGCUGGAGUAUAGUGGCUAUUCACAGGCAUAACCAUUACAU
ensembl:misc_RNA 7SK 7SK RNA